rnacentral:rRNA from 1 species
AAGGAUCAUUAUCGAGUUUUGAACGGGUUGUAGCUGGCCUCUCACGAGGCAUGUGCACGCCUGGCUCAUCCACUCUUAACCUCUGUGCACUUCAUGUAAGAGAAAAAAAUGGUGGAAGCUUCCAGGAUCUCGCGAGAGGUCUUCGGUUGAACAAGCCGUUUUUCUUUCUUAUGUUUUACUACAAACGCUUCAGUUAUAGAAUGUCAACUGUGUAUAACACAUUUAUAUACAACUUUCAGCAACGGAUCUCUUGGCUCUCGCAUCGAUGAAGAACGCAGCGAAAUGCGAUAAGUAAUGUGAAUUGCAGAAUUCAGUGAAUCAUCGAAUCUUUGAACGCACCUUGCACUCCUUGGUAUUCCGAGGAGUAUGCCUGUUUGAGUCUCAUGGUAUUCUCAACCCCUAAAUUUUUGUAAUGAAGGUUUAGCGGCUUGGACUUGGAGGUUGUGUCGGCCCUUGUCGGUCGACUCCUCUGAAAUGCAUUAGCGUGAAUCUUACGGAUCGCCUUCAGUGUGAUAAUUAUCUGCGCUGUGGUGUUGAAGUAUUUAUGGUGUUCAUGCUUCGAACCGUCUCCUUGCCGAGACAAUCAUUUGACAAUCUGAGCUCAAAUCAGGUAGGACUACCCGCUGAACUUAAG